rnacentral:Y_RNA from 1 species
AGUUGGUCCGAGUGCAGUACAACUAAUUGAUCACAACCAGUUACAGAUUUCUCUGUUCCUUCUCCAAUCUCACUGCUUCACUUGACCAUCCUUAA